rnacentral:rRNA from 1 species
GAACCAGCAACUUGGAGGAAUGAGAGUUAAUAUAUAAGGUAUUAAAUUAUUAACUUGCUUGACUAUGUCUUAUAAAAUUCUAGAUAAAGCUGAUAAUGACAACUUUAUAUCUAUAGGUCUCGACUAAAUCUUGUGCCAGCAGUCGCGGUAAGACAAGGGAGACGAGUGUUAUUCAUCUUUAUUAGGUAUAUAGGGUACCUAGACUGUGUAGAAGGCUCCAAAAAGUACCUUUUACACUAGAGUUUGGUAUGUGAGAGGGAGAUGUCAGAACUGUUGGUGUAGAGAUGAAAUUCUUUGAUACCUCUAGGACGGAUAAUGGCGAAGGCAAACCUCUAUGUACAUAGACUUUACUAUUUUAACUCUUUUGUAAAAAAGGUAUAAACCAUAAAAAGACUCAGUCAAAAUUUAGAUUGAGAUAUAAAAUUUGUAAAGUACAGAAACUGACGUUGAGGGACGAAGGCUCAGAAAGUGAAGAGGAUUAGAUACCCCCGUAGCCUGGGCAGACAAUGAUGAGUGUCAUAGGUUGGCUUAUCAAAAAUAUGGCUGAACUAUAAAUGAAAAUGUAAGCACUCCACCUCAAGAGUAAUGUGGCAACGCAGGAACUGAAAUCAUUAGACCGUUUCUGAAACCAGUAGUGAAGUAUGUUAUUUAAUUCGAUGAUCCACGAAUAACCUUACCACAAUUUGAAUGCUCUAUAUUACAUAUAUAGACCACAUGCGUUGCAUGGCUGUCUUCAGUUAAUGUCGUGAGAUUUGGUUAGGUCCAUUAAAUUAACGUAAACCCUUGUUUUAUUUAAUAUAAUAAGGCAGUUCACCGCUUAC